UCCCUCAUAGCUCAGUUAGUAAAGAAUCUGCCUGCAAUGCAGGAGACCCAGGUUCCAUCCCUGGGUUGGGAA
rnacentral:tRNA from 1 species